rnacentral:rRNA from 1 species
UACGAAGGGGGCUAGCGUUGCUCGGAAUCACUGGGCGUAAAGCGCACGUAGGCGGAUCUUUAAGUCAGGGGUGAAUCCCGAGGCUCAACCUCGGAACUGCCUUUGAUACUGGGGAUCUCGAGUCCGGAAGAGGUUGGUGGAACUCCGAGUGUAGAGGUGAAAUUCGUAGAUAUUCGGAAGAACACCAGUGGCGAAGGCGGCCAACUGGUCCGGUACUGGACGCGAGGU